rnacentral:lncRNA from 1 species
CAGGGAUCCUUAACCACUGAGCCACAUCCUCAGCCCUUUUUUAUAUUUUAUUUAGAGACAGGGUCUCACUAAAUUAGAGCCUUACUAAAUUGCUGAGGCUGGCUUUGAACUCUUGAUCCUCCUGCCUCAGCCUCCUGAGCCACUGGGAUUACAGGCUUGCACUACUGCCCCUGGCAAGUUCUAUAUUUUGCGUGUGAGGGUCGGGGGGCAGAUACUGGGGAUUGAACAUAGGGCACUGUAAUACUGUUACAUCCCCAGCCCUUUUUAUUUUUUAAUCAGGGUCUCACUGAUCACUGAGGCUGGCCUCUAAUUCACAAUUCUGCCUCAGCCUCCAGAGUGGCUGGGAUUACAGGAGUGCUCCAUGGUACCUGGCUAUAAUCUAUACUUAACUGGACAAUUCUUUAUUCCUUGAUUUCCCCAAAACCUAUAAGAAAGAAAGAAAGGGAAAGAAAGAAAGAGAAAGUCAGUCCAGGUGACUUCUGAAGACCCCCACUCCAAGUGCUCCUCAGAGUCCCAACCCUAUUUAAUGGGAUACCUGCACUCAUACACUCUCCUGCCACCACCCCCUCCCUAAUCUACUCCAUCAAAGGGGAGGGACUUCAGGCCUAGACCCCACAACCUUUCCAUCUUCAAAAGCUCUGUCUUGGAGGCAUUCAGUUGGUGCAGAAGGCUGAAGGUGAGCGCAUCUGGUCCGUGCCAGUCCUACUCUGGGCAGCCGCCCCCA